AUGUUAACAUUUGAUUUUUGAAAAAUUUUAAUGCCAUUUCAGGUAAACUUUGACAACUAUGAAGCAGUUCUGUCAUUUGUCCUUGUGAACAACAAUCACUGGAAGUUGCUGUACAUCAAUGCAGAAGCCAGAACUGUAUUCCUAAUAGAUCCUGCACAAGUAUCAUCUGAGCUCGUGGACUCCCAAAAGGCAGCUAAAAGAAUACAAGAAUACUUAAAAAUGAGAAGGACAUGCCAUGGAAAAACAGAUUGGGUUGGGAUCCAAUGGAAAGGGGGGACAAUGCACCACCCUAUUCAACAAGACGGAAGCAGCUGUGGAGUUAUUAUA